CUAUUAAUGCAACCAUGUUAUAUAACAUGUAGGUCACAAGUCCUAGUAAAUGCAGAGUGGUAG
rnacentral:ribozyme from 2 species